UGUCAUGCCUGCGAGGUGGGGCCAAGACAGGAGCCCUUAAGACCCGAGAUCUGAAUGUGCUGGCUCUCUUGGUUCCUGGAUCCUGGAUGCUGGAUGUAGACCGAGCAGAAUUCUCCAGAGAACACCGCUGGACUGCAUUUCACCUCUCUAGGACCCUGUAACCUAUCCCUUUACUUAGCCAGCUUGAAUAACACCUGUACAAGUCAGAUCCACUUCAGAUAAGUAUCAUUCUAAUUUUCCUGGUCCUGGGUCCCCCUUUCCUCACGCUGAGACCCCUUCGGGACCUCCCCAAGGUAAAAUUUUUCUAAACUUCCUCUUCUGCCUUGCUAGCACCUUGUCAGAUCCAAACAGUCAUAUCCAAGCAGCGAUGGACAAUUCAACAGAGCCUGAAGCAGCAGAAGAUGAUGGAGAAUUCCCAAAGCAGUGGAAUACAAUCUACUACCUCAGGACAUCUGGCUACCUCAAGAGCCCCCUUCCCUACCCCCAAAAGUUAACCAAUGCCCACUGAGUCAGCUGGAAGCAGUUUUGGGAGACACAGCACCCCCAUUCCUGUUCACUCACCAAUUUUUAUAAAAGAGUCUGGAAUGUUAGAAUUCCUAGCCACUCCCCCAGCUACAUGACUGCACAUGUGCUGUCCAGUAGCCAGGCAAGAUUAGUCAUCCCAAGGCCUUACAUCCUACAUAAUCCAUGUGCUGCAUGAUCAUGUAAUUUGCUCACAACAUGAUCAUGUAAUCUAUGAGCAUGUGUGUCAUAGCUAUGUAAGCCUAUAAGUGUAUGUGCAGGAGGGAGCUAUAAAAGCAGGUUCCACCUAUUGCUUCUCUCUCUUCCUGCAUGGUCAUUCCAUAAGCCUAUGCGCACCCUCUCUCUAUUCCCUUAAUAAACUCUUAUAGUGGGUU